AGUGAACGCUGGCGGUAGGCCUAACACAUGCGAGUCGAACGGCAGCACAGUAAGAGCUUGCUCUUACGGGUGGCGAGUGGCGGACGGGUGAGGAAUACAUCGGAAUCUACUUUUUCGUGGGGGAUAACGUAGGGAAACUUACGCUAAUACCGCAUACGACCUACGGGUGAAAGCAGGGGAUCUUCGGACCUUGCGCGAUUGAAUGAGUCGAUGUCGGAUUAGCUAGUUGGCGGGGUAAAGGCCCACCAAGGCGACGAUCCGUAGCUGGUCUGAGAGGAUGAUCAGCCACACUGGAACUGAGACACGGUCCAGACUCCUACGGGAGGCAGCAGUGGGGAAUAUUGGACAAUGGGCGCAAGCCUGAUCCAGCCAUACCGCGUGGGUGAAGAAGGCCUUCGGGUUGUAAAGCCCUUUUGUUGGGAAAGAAAAGCAGCAGGUUAAUACCCCGCUGUUCUGACGGUACCCAAAGAAUAAGCACCGGCUAACUUCGUG
rnacentral:rRNA from 1 species